AACGAACGCUGGCGGCGUGGAUAAGACAUGCAAGUCGAACGGGAUUUUUUUCUGUAGCAAUACAGGAGAAAGUCUAGUGGCGAACGGGUGCGUAACACGUGAGCAACCUGCCGUGAAGUGGGGGAUAGCUCGCCGAAAGGCGAAUUAAUACCGCAUGUGGCCAAGGAAGACAUCUUCCGGACGCCAAAGCCGGGGCAACCUGGCGCUUCUCGAGGGGCUCGCGGCCUUUCAGCUGGUUGGUGAGGUAACGGCUCACCAAGGCUAUGACGGGUAGCUGGUCUGAGAGGACGACCAGCCACACUGGAACUGAGAUACGGUCCAGACACCUACGGGUGGCAGCAGUCGAGAAUUUUUCACAAUGGGGGAAACCCUGAUGGAGCGACGCCGCGUGGAGGAUGAAGGUUUUCGGAUUGUAAACUCCUGUCAUUAGAGAACAGGGCACACGGUUUAACUGGCCGUGUGUUGAUAGUAUCUGAAGAGGAAGAGACGGCUAACUCUGUGCCAGCAGCCGCCGUAA
rnacentral:rRNA from 1 species